ACGAACGCUGGCGGCAUGCCUCACACAUGCAAGUCGAACGAGACCUUCGGGUCUAGUGGCGCACGGGUGCGUAACGCGUGGGAACCUGCCCUUAGGUUCGGAAUAACUCCCCGAAAGGGGUGCUAAUACCGGAUAAUGUCUUCGGACCAAAGAUUUAUCGCCUUUGGAUGGGCCCGCGUUGGAUUAGCUAGUUGGUAGGGUAAAAGCCUACCAAGGCGACGAUCCAUAGCUGGUCUGAGAGGAUGAUCAGCCACACUGGGACUGAGACACGGCCCAGACUCCUACGGGAGGCAGCAGUGGGGAAUAUUGGAAAAUGGGCGAAAGCCUGAUCCAGCAAUGCCGCGUGAGUGAUGAAGGCCUUAGGGUUGUAAAGCUCUUUUACCCGGGAUGAUAAUGACAGUACCGGGAGAAUAAGCUCCGGCUAACUCCGUG
rnacentral:rRNA from 1 species